AUGACGGCAGAGGCGGACCUGUGGCUGCAUUCUCACACUUGGUUUCACUAUGCGCUCGUAAAAACGGCUCCGUCUACUACAAACGCGGCGGUGCAGGUGCUCUGUCUCUUCGGGAGAGGAUGCGGAUGGAAGGACGGGGGAGGGAAGGGAUGAAGGGAAACGCCACGAGGAGAGAAAAUAGGAUAUGAAAAGGGGGCUUAUGCCGAAAAGACCGUGAGGUGCAAGGUCGAAUAUGAGAGAUUGGUUGAACGGGGCACUUUGCGUGGUAAUAGCUGGUCGGCAAUAGUACUAUGAUUUGGUAUGUGGCCACUCUGAUAGCAAGUGUAUUCAGCACCAGAGGAACGGCCGCUCAAGGUGCCCACGGAGUGAGAGAGGAGCCCCGGUUUGUGACGGCGCGCGCCGGAGAGAGCGUGAUCCUGGGGUGUGACGUGUCCCCUCCCCUGGAUGGCCAGCAGCCUCCCUAUGUGGUGGAGUGGUUCAAGUUUGGAGUGCCUAUUCCCUUCUUCAUCAACUUCCGCUUCUACCCUCCUCAUGUGGAUCCAGAGUACACUGGUAGAGCCUCUCUGCACGGGAAGGCCUCCCUACAAAUCGACCCCGUUCGCUCCGAGGACCAGGGCUGGUACGAGUGCAGGGUCCUGAUGCUGGAGCAACAGUACGACACCUUCCACAACGGCAGCUGGGUGCACCUCACGGUCAAUGCCCCGCCUUCUUUCACAGCGACGCCGCCGCAGUAUGUGGAGGCGAAGGAAGGGGGGAGCACUGUGCUCAGCUGCUCUGCCCAGGGAAAUCCAAAACCAAUGAUCAGCUGGGUGAGGGAGGGGGAGGAGAUCGCCACCAACGCUAAAUAUUCGGUACAUGAUGGCAGUCUGACUAUCCUAGGCAUCACUCGAGAUGACAGAGGGGCGUACACAUGUCGAGCCCACAGUGACCAGGGAGAGGUGCUUCACACCACCCGUCUGCUGGUCCAAGGACCUCCAUACAUCGUCUCCCCACCUGAAAACGUCACUGUAAACAUAUCCCAGAAUGCACUCUUCACCUGCCAAGCGGAGGCGUAUCCCGGCAACCUGACGUACACCUGGUUCUGGGAGGAGGACAACGUCUACUUCAAGAAUGAUCUGAAGCUCCGUGUGCGCAUCCUCAUCGACGGCACCCUCAUCAUCUUCCGGGUCAAGCCGGAGGAUGCUGGGAAAUACACCUGCAGUCCGAGCAACAGCCUCGGCAUCUCGCCCUCGGCAUCGGCCUACCUGACUGUUCAGUACCCUGCCAGAGUGAUCAACAUGCCCCCGGUCAUCUACGUACCACGGAAACUACCAGGCAUCAUCCGCUGCCCUGUGGAUGCCAACCCACCUGUGACAGCGGUGAAGUGGGAGAAAGAUGGCUACCCUCUCAGAGUGGAGAAGUAUCCCGGUUGGAGCAUGAUGCCAGAUGGAAGUAUCCGGGUGGCGGAGGCCACAGAAGACUCCCUGGGCACUUACACCUGUGUGCCUUACAACGCCCUAGGUACCAUGGGCAUGUCCCCCCCUGCCACCUUGGUGCUAAAGGAUCCCCCUUACUUUAAUGUGAGGCCUGGGGGGGAGUACCGACAGGAGGCUGGAAGAGAGCUAGUUAUCCCCUGUGCUGCUUCUGGAGACCCUGAUAUACCAGCCAUCACCUGGAGAAAGGUGGGGAAGCCAAGCAAGAGUAAGCACAACAUCCUACCCAGCGGCAGCUUACAGUUUCUGUCCCUCAGCAAGGAGGACCACGGAGAAUGGGAGUGUGUAGCCACUAAUGUGGUCACGAGCAUCACUGCCAGCACGCGUAUCCUAGUCAUCGGCACCAGCCCCCACGCUCCUGGUAAUAUCCAUGUUUUUCCCUCUACAACCUUUGCUAAUGUGUCCUGGGAACCAGGUUAUGAUGGUGGCUUCGAACAGACGUUCUCUGUGUGGUAUGGUCCAGUGUCAAAGAGAACAGACUUCGGCCCUCACGACUGGCAUUCGAUGCCGGUUUCUGGUGCUCAGAUCUGGUUGGUGGUGCCAGGGCUGGAGCCUGGGACGGAGUACCAGUUCAGUGUGUUGGCACAGAACAAACUGGGCACGGGCCCAUUCAGCGAAGUUGUGACAGUCAACACUGCAGGCUCCCCUCUGGGUACCCCAGAACCACUGGUGCUUCUUACUCCACCACGGUGCCUCACAGCAAAUCGCACGCAGCACGGUGUUCUCCUCACAUGGCUCCCUCCAGCCAACCACUCUUCACCCAUCGACAGAUACAUCAUGGAGUUUCGCCUCGGGGAGAGAUGGGAGGUUCUGGAUGACCUGAUCCCGUCCACAGAGACUGAGCUCAUAGCUAGAGACCUCGUCCAGGAGUCCUGGUAUGAGUUCCGGGUGAUGGCCGUCAUGGACGACCUUAUCAGCGAGAGCAGCAACGUGGUGGGAGUGUCCAGCACUGAUCCCUUCCCCCCUGCAGAGUUGCCUGACGAGGGGCUGGCACGGCCUGUGGUUGCCGGUGUUGUGGCAACUAUCUGCUUUCUGGCAGCAGCAGUACUGUUCAGCACCCUGGCAGCUUGCUUUGUCAACAAGCAACACCGGCGCAAACUCAAACGUAAACCAGAUCCUCCCUUGUCGGUGACACACUUCAGGAAAAGCAUUGAGUCACCGUUAUCUUCGGGGAAGAUAAGUCCAGAGAGCUCCCCUCCGUCUCGCCCCCGCUCCCUUUCUUCAGAUGGUUCACACGGCCCAGGCCUAUACGUCAGGAAGCUGCCCAGCCCACUAAGAGAAAGAGACAAAGAGCUCUCCUUCUACAAGAAAACCAAGCGUGCCAUAGCCAGCAAGAAAUACAGCGUGUCCAAGCACGAGGCCGAGGUCACCACACCGAUUGAGCUGAUAAGUCGUGGCCCUGAUGGUCGCUUCGUCAUGGAUAUCAGCCCGCCGCACCGCCGCAUCCAGGGCUUUCCCUUCGCAGAGGAGUCCGACAUGUACCCUGAGUUCCGGCAGUCUGAUGAGGAGAAUGAUUUUGAUCCUGGGCCUCUGCCGCCCAUCAUGCCCACGCUGCGGCCCCAGCUCUCCCCAACGUCCUCCAGCCUGGAGUCAACGCAGCCCCCUACCUACAGCCCCCGCCUACACAGGGCCAUGGAAGGUAUGAGCUUUGCAGAGGGCAGUGCACUUCACGCCUCAGGGCAGGCCCCCGCCUCCCGCUACAGGGGCUUUCCCCAGGGCCCAUUCUAUGGGUACUUAGGCAGCCGCGGUGAAUCAGGGAUUCCACCACCAUUCUACAUGCCUGACAUCAGCCCGCGUAGCUCCGCUCUGUCCUCCCCCCCAGGCACCGCCGAGGGGCCUUUUGGUUACCCCUCCAUCCCUGAGGAGAGCGGAGAGAUGGAGCUCCAUCAGUACACCGCCUCAGGCCAUUCUCUAUCUCACACACACAGCCCUCCUCGCUCACCUGAAAGCUGGCAGCCUCAUGAGCUACCCUUCCUGGGCCUAGAGGGUCCACGGUUCAUAUACCCACCACACCAUCCCUUACAUCAUCCCCAGGACCUCCCUGACCCACCCCCAUACCCUCCUCACACUCUUCCUCCCAGCCGUCUACACUUCCCCUCCCUACAGGAUCCAACCAGCCCUGGACUCCUGCAGCUGGAGGUUCCUGUGGCUCCCCCCGGCAGAGACAGGCCCCUGGGGCCUCCGGUUAGGCGUUUAGCUAUGCAACAGGCCCAAAGUCUCGGCCAGCUCAGACACACGGCCCACGGUGUGGGUGUACCAGUGUUGCCUUACCCUGACCCGGCAGCCCGUACAGGGAGCCCAAGCACAGCCCCCAGUAGUAGCCCUCAGUCCUGGCUCAGCCCGAGGGCAGGGCGCCGGGCAGACCCCAGCCUCCCCCCGCUAGUUCUCCAGCCCUCCCGUCUCUCUCCGCUCUCCCAAAGCCCCCUUAGCACCCAGCCGGGAUCCCCGGAUAUUCUAGUGCGGCCCCCUCCACGCCCUGGCAUCCUCCGCACCUCUCGGUCUCUGGAGAUGCCGGAAAUCACCCUUCAGCCCUCGGCCACUGUCAGUUUCUCCCGGAGGUCCUCCCUGAGCGCCUCACCCACUCAGAGUCAGUGCGGCAGGCAACCCAGCCCCAGUUACCACGCCCACAUGUCGUAUGCCUCCACUGCAGCCAGUUACCCCUCGCAGUCCCCCUCUCCCCCUCUGGAGGGCAGGGAUGUGUUCGGGCAGAGGCCAUCCCAGAGAAGGACAGAGGAGGAGAUGCUGCCCUCAGAGCCCUCUCAGCGUCAGAUAUCAGCCUCAGGCUAUCUGGGCAGCGUUGUGACCCGGUCCCCUACGCCGCAAUAGGGAACCUCUAGGUGCGUCUAGUGAUCCUGCCGGGUCUGAGAGCUUACCAGCACUGCUACACCACUGUAUUACUAAAGCCAAGGGCGUGGCCACCAACAACAAUAACAACGCAACCUCCGCAAGGAGAACAGGUGUGUGUCCCUCUCAGACCCAGCAGCAAUCUCAGACACCCCAAGAGGGAGAGGAUCUUGGCCUCCAGAGAAAGAGGAAAAAGCAAAAGAAGAAGAACCCCUAUCACUAUUUGACCUCCUUACUGCACCGCAGGAAGUCCGAGGAGGACCAGACAGGCAUUCUGGCCAGUGCAGACUCUGAGGGUCCAAAUUAUGGGACUCUACGCUGACCUGUGCCCACCAAGCCAUUGGACUCGACUAAACCGACCUCCCCUGAUUAGAAAAACCUAACCUCAGCGCUCCUUGCUCCAAGCAAAUACAUUUCUUAUAAUCACUAAAAAGUUCUUCAUCAUUUUAGGAGCGGAGGAAACAUCCAGCUGAUUAUCCGGGAGGUUGGAGAUCUUAUUUGAAGACAAGAGCAAUGGCUUUUCGUAGUUGUUACCACUACUUGUCUCUGAGGAAUUUGACUUGAAAAUGAACAUAUAUAAUGUAUAUAACUAGUAAAACAAGGGAAUUAAGCUUCCUCCUACAGUAAUAAAAAUGUGUUGGUUGAGUAUGUCACAACACGUUGAAGAUUUUUCACUCACUGGUCAUUGAGGGGUCCAUAUCUUUAGGUUUUUCAGUGAUACAGUGUACUGUGAAGCCUGGUGCGUCCUCAGACAGGGACAUGAGUCUACCUUUCCUACAAUACAACUAGUGUCAGUAUUUAAACACAGGGUUCUUACCACAAAAUAUACCUCAGAGUAAACGCAGAGUUGCUGUAAUUCUUGUGGUAUACUGUACGUACUUGACCUUUUUACAUAUGAAACGUAUGGUUAAAAAGGUUUAUAUCACACACACAAACGCUCAUUCAGACAGAUAAUAUGGCCUAACUUUACCUAAUUUAGAAGCUUUUUUUUAAUUAUCAGUGAUAGCUGGCAUUUUGUGUUUGUUUUGAAUCAUGACCCUACACCAUCCACUAGAGGACUGUCUUAAUUUUAGUGCUAGACGGCUCGGUGUGUUUACACUCAUCGUCAAAGCAACAUGUUAUUUUACAGAUCAUAGCCUUCAUGAGAAAAUAUUUGAGACUCACUCACUCACCAGAGGUUGGACUUGUCGGAUUUAGAAGAACAGGGUGAUGAAUUGUGAAGUGUACUGUAGUUUGUAUUUCAUCAUUAAGGAAUCAUUUGUGAAAUGUGGCACGUCUCGAGGUGCCUUUUUUUGCCUUUUCUCUCUUGUUUUUUCUAACAUAAACUGCCUUUUUCCUUCGCCUUCUCAUGUUUGUCUACGGGGGAGUGAGGGAUUCUGAUACUAUGUGUGUUUUUACUUUCUCUGCCAAGGAUCCAUGAGAGGUAAUUCUACAGAGGAUGCAUUACUUAAUUUCUUUGAUUUAUUUUUUUUAAUUUUUUUUACAUAAUGUAUUCUUUAAAUGGGUAACUGCUUCAACUGUGUAUAUCAAAGUACUAGGAAGGAAUCAGAAUACCCAUACGAAUAAGAAAAAAAGUCCAGACUCAAAGAAGGCAAAUAAUCAAGUGGAAAAGUACAGAAGUGCUGUACAUGUUCAGACACUAUGUUAAUGUUUAGCAAAAAAUGUCUAAAUGAGAAUGUGAUUGCUUCAUAAAGCUAUUUAAAGCAAUGGAAAAUCUUCAAACAAUGGCCACCCUGACUGUUUAUCUUUAACAACUGUAUAUUACUUGCUAGCUACUUCUCUGUAUGUUUGUUAAUUUUUCAACACUAACCGAUAAUGAAUGUAUGUUUUGCUGUACAGGAAAUGAAUGUCCCGAUGUCACAGUACAUUGAAUGACCCAUUACAAUGUUUGAAGUGCAGCUGCGAUCGGUGAGACAAGCAGUUGGCACAAAAAUUCUAAAAACUUCUUCACUUCCCUGUAAUAACUAACUCAAGCUCCUUCUGUUCAAACGGCUACAACAAUCUAGGUUUCUUUUGAAAGGCCAAAACCAGUUCAAAAACACACCAAAUAUGUUUCUAUCUGCUACCAACAAAUCAGAUGUUCUCCGACAAAUAUCCACAUGAAUGAAUCGACUCAAUGUCUGCUUAAUGAAAUCUCUUUUGACAAGUGAGAACGUGAUGAUUGCCUGAAAAGUGAGCGCCAAGGUGCAUAUACUUUAACAAAUUGGUUUCAUGUACAGUAAGAUAUUAGGGGAAAAAAAUCUAUAUUUGUUAUGUACUGUACAUGGUAUGUAUUGUAUUUGUAAAGAUAAAUCAAACCAUGUUUUACAGGAACAAUGUCUUGUAAGAAGAUGUAUGAAAAGAUGGGAGGGAUCCCAAGGAAAAAGAAAUUAGAUUAUAUAUAAAAGUAUUUGCUUACAGUACGGCUUUAAGUGGAUAAUGUUUCUAAAACAUUUUAAGGUGCCUCAUUUGUCAUAUUUUAGCAGACAUUAUUUUAUUCGAGAAGAAAAGAAACCUUAAUGUUAGCACCGUAUGAUGUAUUAUUGCCAUAGCCCGCUGGCUGCACAAGUUAAGUAGUAUUUUCUCUGAUGUAUAGUACGUGAAUGCCCAUUGGAAAAAGCUUUAGAAGCAGAACUGUGUUGCCCUCUAUAAUAAUAUUCCUGGAACAAAGUGAUAAUGUAUCUGCCCAUUCAUGAGCACACAUGUAGAUUCACUCCAGAUCUGUCGCCUUCAGGAGUCCAGAGCAAAUAAAACUGAGGGAAAUGUUUUUCUAAGAGUCACAGACAUGCUAUAGUCAUGUACAAAACGUGCUGUGGAGGAAAUUGUGUUUACAUUAGUUUGAUACAGAAAAGUGUGAUAGGGCAUAGUUGCUUUGAACAUUACGACUUGGUGCUAUGUUUAACUCUGUGGUGCUGUAGAUUAGAGGUCUAAAGAUUUUUGUUUUUUUCUGUUUCCGAAAGCAACUCUUUUGGGCCCUGUGUGUUUGAGCAACUAAACUAGCUCUGGUAGACACUAUCGGUCCUUAUUAUAACAGUAUCAUGGUGUGAUGACAGUGAUAGACAAUACUGGAAAAUAGUAGUAUAACCUCAAAUAAUAGAGAUUUUGUGACAUUCAAAUGAACUCAAAGAUGACCUGUUUUCUAUAGUGUGUUUGCAAUGUCUGUCUGUGCUUCCAAGGUACCCUCUCUAAAGUAUAUCUGUGAUGGUAUUGAGAAUAUUAACCCAGCCUAAAAAGGAGAAACAUAACCUGAUUUAGAUUAGUACACGCCACAGGACACAUGGGAGGGAAUCUGAGAGCAUUGUCAGGUCAUGAGAAGGGGAAAUUAUCUCCACACUUUCCGUAGGUCUACCAUCUUUGGUUAACAGCACUGUUUUUCAAGCACACUACUGCAGGGAGGCGAAAAACCGUCUCACACCAUCUCUCCACUGUUUUUAGACAGUAGAUUUCCUACUAGUACUGUACAGUAUAGCCAUGAGUAGUCAUCAGACCACAUUUGUAUUUAUUACUGCUGAUUCUCCUGGUUGAAAGGUAUUGAUUGGGAAGGCUCAUUUAUCCUCCACAUGGGUUUUUACGAAUGGAUGUUGUCUUCCGGGCUCUUUUUUGCAUAUUCAACAGAAACAUGUACAGUGUUUUAAGAGGGCUGCUUUGGACGUACUGUUAGCUCAGUUUUUAUUUUUUCUGUUUCAGUUUUAUUUACAACUUUUCUGCUUACAGCUUUUAGGGCAUCUCUAGGUGCUGGUAGGAUGAUACUUAGAAACCGAUUUGAUUUUUUAUUGUAUUAAUCUUGCAUGUAGAGACAAUACAAAAAAAGAACAAAAAAACGCCUAUUUAGCAAUCAUUCAUGGACAUCCGAGCUGGUUGUUAUUGGACGGAAAAUAGAAAUAUGUAGUAUUUUCUAUAUUCUCUGUUUUUUCAUGUGUACCAGCACUGAGAAACUAGAAUGUAUUAUUAUUAUCGUAGGCUACAAUAAGCACUACAUUGUUGACUGUUUUAGCUGAUGCUCAUACUCAAGCAAACCAAGUAGUGCUUAAAAAGGAAGAAAAUUUAAUACAUUUCAUUUCAUUGUCAUCCACUGAACUCUGUGCUGUACAUCACAUGUUUACAUUCUGUAUUAUAUGUUGUUUAUUCUGUUUUUUUGUACAUAAUUUGUCUCCAUGAUGGUCUUUAAUGUUCAUAUGUAAAUAAUUCAAAGCAAAAACAUUUUUUACUUUUCUCUUUUUUAAAAUGAUAACCUGAUGUUUCUUUUAUUUGUUGUUUUUUAGACUUGUCUUUCUGUUCUGUCACUACAUCAGGUGUUACGCUUCACUUAACUUUUUUUGUGAGCAAUUAACUCAUACUGUAUGGUGCUGUACCAAAGCCUUAUGUAUAAUAUUUGUAUUACUUUUCUCUCGUUUGCCACUGCUGUCCAGUGAAUUCUGUAUCGUCUGAGAUCAUGUCUUACUCACUCUUCAUGUUCAACUGCCAUGGAUCUCCUUUCUUUUAUUGAGUAAACAGAAACCUGAAUGAACUAUGAUGUAAAAAAAAAAAAA